rnacentral:rRNA from 1 species
AUUGAACGCUGGCGGCAUGCCUUACACAUGCAAGUCGAACGGUAACGGGCCUUCGGGUGCCGACGAGUGGCGAACGGGUGAGUAAUACAUCGGAACGUGCCCGAUCGUGGGGGAUAACGAGGCGAAAGCUUUGCUAAUACCGCAUACGAUCUACGGAUGAAAGCAGGGGACCGCAAGGCCUUGCGCGGACGGAGCGGCCGAUGGCAGAUUGGGUAGUUGGUGGGAUAAAAGCUUACCAAGCCGACGAUCUGUAGGUGGUCUGAGAGGAUGAUCAGCCACACUGGGACUGAGACACGGCCCAGACUCCUACGGGAGGCAGCAGUGGGGAAUUUUGGACAAUGGGCGCAAGCCUGAUCCAGCCAUGCCGCGUGCAGGAUGAAGGCCUUCGGGUUGUAAACUGCUUUUGUACGGAACGAAAAGCCUUCUUUUAAUACAGGAGGGUCAUGACGGUACCGUAAGAAUAAGCACCGGCUAACUACGUG